GUAGGGAAUAUUGCACAAUGGAGGAAACUCUGAUGCAGCGACGCCGCGUGAGUGAUGAAGGCCUUCGGGUCGUAAAGCUCUGUCGCAGGGGAAUAACACAAUGAAGGUACCCUGUAAGAAAGGAUCGGCUAACUUCGUGCCAGCAGCCGCGGUAAGACGAGGGAUCCUAGCGUUGUUCGGAAUCAUUGGGCGUAAAGUGGAUGUAGGUGGCUAUGUAAGUCAGAUGUGAAAGCCUGGGGCUCAACCCCAGAAGUGCAUUUGAUACUGCGUAGCUUGAGUGUCGGAGAGGUUACUAGAAUUGUUGGUGUAGUGGUGAAAUACGUAGAUAUCAACAGGAAUACCGGAGGCGAAGGCGGGUAACUGGCCGAACACUGACACUGAGAUCCGAAAGCGUGGGGAUCAAACAGGAUUAGAUACCCGAGUAGUCC
rnacentral:rRNA from 1 species